rfam:Haemonchus contortus, ISE/inbred ISE, WGS project CAVP01000000 data, contig: Hcontortus_17711
GGCCCAAAUUUAAAGUAGAGUAGAUUAGUGGUAUCAGCUGACCCUGCUCAACUACUUUACUUCAAGUUUGUGCCC